rnacentral:tRNA from 1 species
AUACUCUAAGUAUAAGCUAUUUGAGU